ACUGCUCAGUAACACGUGGAUAACCUGCCCUGCGGUGGGAAAUAACCCCGGGAAACUGGGGAUAAUGUCCCAUAGGCUACGGAUGCUGGAAUGCUCUGUAGCUCAAAGAUUUAUCGCCACAGGAUGGGUCUGCGGCCGAUUAGGUAGUUGUUGGGGUAACGGCCCAACAAGCCUUUGAUCGGUACGGGCUGUGGGAGCAAGAGCCCGGAGAUGGAUUCUGAGACACGAAUCCAGGCCCUACGGGGCGCAGCAGGCGCGAAAACUUUACAAUGCGGGAAACCGUGAUAAGGGAACUCCGAGUGUCCGUAAAUGCGGACUGUCCGUAUGUCUAAAAAGCAUGCGAAGAAAGGGCCGGGCAAGACCGGUGCCAGCCGCCGCGGUAAUACCGGCGGCUCGAGUGGUGGCCACUAUUACUGGGCUUAAAGCGUUCGUAGCUGGAUUGUUAAGUCUCUUGGGAAAUCUACCGGCUUAACCGAUAGGCGUCCAAGGGAUACUGGCAAUCUAGGGACCGGGAGAGGUGAGGGGUACUUCAGGGGUAGGAGUGAAAUCCUGUAAUCCUUGGGGGACCACCUGUGGCGAAGGCGCCUCACCAGAACGGCUCCGACAGUGAGGGACGAAAGCUGGGGGAGCAAACCGGAUUAGAUACCCGGGUAGUCCCAGCCGUAAACGAUGCAGACUCGGUGAUGGGUUGGCUUCGCGCUAACCCAGUGCCGCAGGGAAGCCGUUAAGUCUGCCGCCUGGGUAGUACGGUCGCAAGACUGAAACUUAAAGGAAUUGGCGGGGGAGCA
rnacentral:rRNA from 1 species